CGUCAUAUAAAGCAAAAUGGCGGACUCCAGUGGCAGUGCAAGCAAAGUGCCCAACGUUAUGAAACGAGUCGAUUUCAAAGCUGACAAGAUAAGUGAGGCUGAUUUAGAAUUUGUACAACGAAUGACAGCAAGGCGAAGUGAACUACUAAGGCAAAGAGGUAGAGCAAGAUACGUGAAGAGAAACGUUGCUGUCGGAUGCGCGAUAGCGGUCGGCGUUGUUGGAGUUUAUGCAUACUCUAUGCUUGCAGUGAAACAAGAGACCUUUUUAGAUGACUUUGACUCGCCUGCUGCUCCCAAAACGUAGCAUCCAGUUACACACCCACAUAUUAAAACCAAAGACCUAUGUGAGUGAAGUCGCCAUUGUUACCAUGAAGCAAGUGGUAUGGAAAGGAGAAGAAUAUUAGACUUCCAACACAAGACUUGAAUAAACACUUUUGUUUUUAUAUCAUCUAGCUUGUUCUGUACUGGAGUGACUUCUACUUGCAGACCUGAGUGUGAAAACUACUAUUGAUACUGUAUACAAAAUAUGAUGAAAAAUUAAUUAACCUGAUACUAAAUUGUCUUUAAUUAUUGAAAGAAAACAUAGUAAUAAU